rnacentral:rRNA from 1 species
AGAGUUUGAUCCUGGCUCAGGAUGAACGCUGGCGGCGUGCCUAAUACAUGCAAGUCGAGCGAACUGAUUAGAAGCUUGCUUCUAUGACGUUAGCGGCGGACGGGUGAGUAACACGUGGGCAACCUGCCUGUAAGACUGGGAUAACUUCGGGAAACCGAAGCUAAUACCGGAUAGGAUCUUCUCCUUCAUGGGAGAUGAUUGAAAGAUGGUUUCGGCUAUCACUUACAGAUGGGCCCGCGGUGCAUUAGCUAGUUGGUGAGGUAACGGCUCACCAAGGCAACGAUGCAUAGCCGACCUGAGAGGGUGAUCGGCCACACUGGGACUGAGACACGGCCCAGACUCCUACGGGAGGCAGCAGUAAGGAAUCUUCCGCAAUGGACGAAAGUCUGACGGAGCAACGCCGCGUGAGUGAUGAAGGCUUUCGGGUCGUAAAACUCUGUUGUUAGGGAAGAACAAGUACGAGAGUAACUGCUCGUACCUUGACGGUACCUAACCAGAAAGCCACGGCUAACUACGUGCCAGCAGCCGCGGUAAUACGUAGGUGGCAAGCGUUAUCCGGAAUUAUUGGGCGUAAAGCGCGCGCAGGCGGUUUCUUAAGUCUGAUGUGAAAGCCCACGGCUCAACCGUG